rnacentral:rRNA from 1 species
CAAUAGCGUAUAUUAAAGUUGUUGCAGUUAAAAAGCUCGUAGUUGGAUUUGUGGCGUACGGUGGGUUCCGGGCACUUGUUGUCUGAGUAACUUGCUGUUGCCAUCCUUGGGUGGAACCUGUGUGGCAUUAGGUUGUCGUGCAGGGGAUGCCCAUCAUUUACUGUGAAAAAAUUAGAGUGUUCAAAGCAGGCUUAUGCCGUUGAAUAUAUUAGCAUGGAAUAAUGAGAUAGGACUUUUUUGCUAUUUUGUUGGUUUGCGCAAAGAGGUAAUGAUUAAUAGGGACAGUUGGGGGUAUUCGUAUUCCAUUGUCAGAGGUGACAUUCUUGGAUUUUUGGAAGACGAACUACUGCGAAAGCAUUUACCAAGGAUGUUUUCAUUAA